UACGUAGGGGGCGAGCGUUGUCCGGAUUCAUUGGGCGUAAAGCGCUUUAAGGCGGUUCGGUAAGUCGGGUGUGAAACCUCCAGGCUCAACCUGGAGACGCCACUCGAUACUGCUGUGACUAGAGUUCGGUAGGGGAUCACGGAAUUCCUGGUGGUAGCGGUGGAAAUGCGCAGAUAUCAGGAGGAACACCGGUGGCGAAGGCGGUGAUCUGGGCCGACACUGACGCUGUAGAGCGAAAGCGUGGGGAGCGAACAGG
rnacentral:rRNA from 1 species